AUUGAACGCUGGCGGCAGGCCUAACACAUGCAAGUCGAACGAGUGGCGGACGGGUGAGUAAUGUCUAGGAAACUGCCUGAUGGAGAGGGCUAAGUACUGGAAACGGUAGCUAAUACCGCAUACCAUCAGCUGUGCCCAGAUGGGAUUCGCUUGUUGGUGGGGUAACGGCGCACCAAGGCGACGAUCCCUAGCUGGGCUGCGAGGAGGACCAGCCACACUGGAACUGAGACACGGUCCAGACUCCUACGGGAGGCAGCAGUGGGGAAUAUUGCACAAUGGGCGAAAGCCUGAUUCAGCCAUGCCGCGUGUAUGAAGAAGGCCUUCGGGUUGUAAAGUACUUUCAGCGGGGAGGCGGUACCCGCAGAAGAAGCACCGGCUAACUCCGUGCCAGCAGCCGCGGUAAUAC
rnacentral:rRNA from 1 species